rnacentral:rRNA from 1 species
UACGUAGGGGGCUAGCGUUGUCCGGAUUUAUUGGGCGUAAAGAGCUCGUAGGUGGUUUGUCGCGUUGUUCGUGAAAACUCACAGCUCAACUGUGGGCGUGCGGGCGAUACGGGCAGACUUGAGUACUGCAGGGGAGACUGGAAUUCCGGGUGUAGCGGUGGAAUGCGCAGAUAUCAGGAGGAACACCGGUGGCGAAGGCGGGUCUCUGGGCAGUAACUGACGCUGAGGAGCGAAAGCGUGGGGAGCGAACAGG